AUGGGACUUGAACCCAGGCCUCCUGGUUCAAGGGUAAGGAUAUUACCACUGCACUACAAGAGGGCUGUCUGAUUUUUAUAGCUGGUGGAUUUACAUGUGCAGUGGUGUGUCAAUCAAUAGAUACACUUCCAUUUGACGCAAACUAAGCUUUUUCAUGAGCUCAUAAUAUUGAAACCAAAACUAGGGUGCAGAUCCUAUUCUCUGAUCCAUAAUUGAAAAAAGUGGUUUUCAGAAUGUGAGCACCAUAAUUGUUAGAACUUAGUUAUGUUGAAUUAAAUUCAUUAAACAUUUAAUUAUAAUGUCUUUAGGAUAAAAAAGACUUUAUUCAAGACUUAAUUUGAAGAUUUUGCAGACGUCAGUAUGCCAGUCUGUGUGAAGGCAGCACUCAGAGAAGAUACUAUUCUAACAGCAGUAUUUAUAGUAAUUUCCAUUCUCUUUUCCCCUUAGUACAGCAAGACAAUUCAUAUACCCUAAUGAGUUGUCCACUUUUAUGGUGCUGUGAAGUGGGCUUUGACUGUGAUGACGGAAGGUGUUUGAGAUGAGCUGAGAGAACAGAAGACUGACAUUUCUAUCACAUCACAAUAUGGAUAUCUGCAGGACACCACUAGUCACGGACCUCCAACGUGAAAAACCCCCUUCCAACACUACCCUCUGCCUUCUACGGACAAGCCAAUUCUGAAUCCGCGUGGCCAAGUCACCUUGGAUUCCGUGCAUCUUAAUCUUCUGGAUGAGCCUACAAUGAGGACAGUUUAGUUGAGUCACCUGUUAUGGACCAGGCCAGACGCCCUCAAAGCAUUUGAAGACCCUAACUUCUCUAAUUGGUUUAAGCAGGUGUGAGGUGGAUAUUGCAGCUGGUCAGUUUUAACUCCGUUUUAAACAAAGCAUAAUUUAUUUACAGACUACUGAAUGAAACACAAGCAAAAGAAAACAGAAUUUAGAGUAACAACUAUUUGAAAACCUGACUGAUAUGAAAUUCCCCGCAACUUAACAUUGAGCUGUUCUGAUUUCCUGUAACAUCACAUAAACACACCCCUUGGCAAAAAGAUAAAUUCAAACACAGGUUUUUACAGGAGAGAGAGAGAUUGCAGAGAGGAUCAGUCAGGGAUCAUUGGCUGAAACAUGGGACCUCAAUUUUUUUUUCUCAGCAGCUUCUUGGGAUCGCCAGCUUAAACCAAACCAAACUAGAAAAAUCCCUGAACUGGGAGAACUGGCUGCUCCCCUUUCAUUGUACAAGUAUUUUUUUAAAAAAACCUCAAAGCCCUUUUCUAUGAUUAUUGCCUGGGGCAGUAUCUGUUAGCCAUUAGCAAAAUGGCCUUUUUCCCAGACAAAUCAGAACCUCUGCCUUUUAGAACCCCUUUUGGAAAAAAAACCAAGGACAACAUAACCUUGUUAAAGUAAUGGCACUGUCACACACCAAUAGGUUGAAUGGUAUUUGAGUGCCAUUUGUGGAUGACAACUUGAACCCAGGUGAAGCACAGGGCAAUAGAGCACUCUAAAGCUGGAGAAACUUCAGCACUUUUUUUAAAAAUAUAUGUCCUCCCUAUUAAAUUCCCUGUGUUGCCUUUUAGGUUCUGUGUUCUUUGCUCUCAAUGCCCCACUUCAUGUCAAUGUAAGAGAAUCUAGCUGUAAAAUGACUAUUUGCAUGCAAGUAUAUUAUGACAUUCUUCUAACUGCUAUUGUCACAUCUGCAUUAUUUUUUAAAAAAUAUAGUUAGCUACUCCUUUCUGUUCCUACAUCACUAUUUGCUUCUAAAGUUUACAUUUGACUUCAGGAAAUUGGUCACAAUUUAUCUUGUGUAACUCCCAUGUGGCAUUACAAUGGUGAAAUGCUGCUACAAAACCACACCGGAUCCAGUUUGGCUACUGUGUGUAUGUUUUCCUCAGUUUAUAAAGUUAAGAAGAAAAUAUUUUACAAAACUAAGAGGAUUUUUCUUUCAUCUUGCACAUAGGGGAAUAUCAAUACCCUAUGGA